rnacentral:rRNA from 1 species
CCUACGGGUGGCUGCAGUGGGGCAUAUUGGGCAAUGGGCGCAAGCCUGACCCAGCAACGCCGCGUGAAGGAAGAAGGCUUUCGGGUUGUAAACUUCUUUUAAGAGGGAAGAGCAGAAGACGGUACCUCUUGAAUAAGCCACGGCUAACUACGUGCCAGCAGCCGCGGUAAUACGUAGGUGGCAAGCGUUGUCCGGAUUUACUGGGUGUAAAGGGCGUGUAGCCGGGCUGACAAGUCAGAUGGGAAAUGCCGUGGCUCAACCAAGGAACUGCAUUUGAAACUGUAGGUCGUGAGUAUUGGCGAGGCAGGCGGAAUUCCUGGUGUAGCGGUGAAAUGCGUAGAUAUUAGGAGGAACACCAGUGGCGAAGGCGGCCUGCUGGACGACAACUGACGGUGAGGCGCGAAAGCGUGGGGAGCAAACAGGAUUAGAUACCCCUGUGUC